CCUACGGGAGGCAGCAGUGGGGAAUUUUUGGACAAUGGGCGCAAGCCUGAUCCAGCAAUGCCGCGUGAGUGAAGAAGGCCUUCGGGUUGUAAAGCUCUUUUGUCAGGGAAGAAACGGUGGGAGCUAAUAUCUCCCGCUAAUGACGGUACCUGAAGAAUAAGCACCGGCUAACUACGUGCCAGCAGCCGCGGUAAUACGUAGGGUGCAAGCGUUAAUCGGAAUUACUGGGCGUAAAGCGUGCGCAGGCGGUUUUGUAAGUCUGUCGUGAAAGCCCCGGGCCCAACCUGGGAAUUGCGAUGGAGACUGCAAGGCUUGAAUCUGGCAGAGGGGGGUAGAAUUCCACGUGUAGCAGUGAAAUGCGUAGAGAUGUGGAGGAACACCAAUGGCGAAGGCAGCCCCCUGGGUCAAGAUUGACGCUCAUGCACGAAAGCGUGGGGAGCAAACAGGAUUAGAUACCCUGGUAGUCCACGCCCUAAAACGAUGUCUACUAGUUGUCGGGUUUUAAUUAACUUGGUAACGCAGCUAACGCGUAGAAGUACGACCGCCGUGGGGGUAGGUACGGUCGGCGAAGAAGUUAAAACGUUAAAACGGUAAAGUUAGUACGGACGUGAGACGUCGCCGACGGACGACGACGAGGGAGGUUAGG
rnacentral:rRNA from 1 species